CUCCAGCAUUGUUGUUUUGGUGGCGCAGGCUUCUUCCUUGGUACAUCUUCACAUCUUUUUUCAGUGCACCUCCAGGCUGAUCUUUUCAUUUUCCUGACAAAUAAAAACAACUGGACUGUCUGGAUCUGUGCUGGUGAAAGUUGGCACAAUGGCAAAACAAACAGCAUCGUUAGUUUGCAUCUUAGUGCUUUUAUUCGUCACAGUCUUUGCUCAAGUGAUAGUUGGUGGGAAGUACUUCAAGGACUGUCCAGGAAUUCCCUUCAUCCCUAUUUAUCUUUGUGGACCCAUCUUUGCCUUCUUUGCAUGGUGUAUGUACGGGUCAUGUAACGAGUUUUGUUGGUCCGUGACUACCCUCUUCUUCAUUUGCUGGUACAUUGCUGGUAAUGCAGUGAUCUACAGCAAUUAUAAACAACUUCAGAUUACAGACUACAGAUACUGCAACCAGACACUCUACCUUUUUGCAUUUUGGAGCACCACUCUGACCAACGUCUUAUUAUUUAUUUGUUGUUGUUGCUAUUGUAAAGAAGAGGCAGAUGAGGUUGAUGUUCAAGUAUAAAUACACACAGAAGGUCAAAAUCAGUGUGUAUGCUGUCUAAUGAGUGUUUUUAUGGGAUAUGUGUAUUUAAAGCAUAUCAUCAAAUGGAUAAAACAGCAGCACUGACAUUAUAAUUGAAGUGUAAAAUGCAGGAUUAAACAUGAUUAUGUUUUUGUAAAAAUGCUUUUGAUAUGAACUUGAGCGUUUGAUUCAUUAUUACAAAUAAUAUUUUCAGCACUUGAUUACAUGUGCACAUAAAACAGGUUGGUUGAUGCUUUUCUGCCUCACUGAGCCACUGGCAGCUCAGUUAUUACGAACUCGAGAUUCUCAAAGGUCCAAAACGUAUAAAGCUGAAAUGCAAUGAAAUGUGGCAAAAACAAAACACCAGGGAGAAUAUUUAUUUCAUAGAAUGCUGCAGCUGAAAAAAGUUUAUUCUUCAGUGGAAUUGUUAGUUAACUCCAGUGCUGUGCAAAAGACCACUUAAAAAAACCCCUAAAACUAACAAAAACUAACAAACAAAAGCAAGAAAAAACAACAAGAUAAUCUGGCUGUUUGGAAGCAAGAUAUAGAUAAAUUAGGGGGGUCUCAAGACUUUUUCUUAGUGCUUUAUUAACAACAGAAGUAUAGGAUUAUUGCAGAGAUAGUACCUGUAUUUAGCCUGUUAAUAGCAAAUAUUCAAGAAAAGCACCACAUAUCAAUAUUAGGCCCAGUUUUCUUCCUUCUAUAUGUUAAUGAUUUUAUUUACUCCUCUAGUAUUUUAUAUAAAGUAAUGUUUGCUAAUAAUACAAAUCUGUUUUGUCUCAUGAAAACUAGAUAAUCUCCAACAUAUUAUACAUUUAAUAAGUUAUUGUUUGCAAAAAUUAAAAAAUAAUAAUAAAAAAAGUAGUUGUAUUUAACUCAAACAGAAACUAGAAAAAUGUUGACAAUGUAUGUAUGCAGAUAAAUAGUAGUUUUAUCAAGAGGGUAAAAUCUGCAAUAUUUUGGAAGGUUUGAUGACUUUGUGACUUCCAAGAGGCAAAUUUAUGGUUUUAUGAAAAAAGUUUCCAAAUAUGUUGGUUUAUUUUUUAAAAUUCAGAAAUUGUCCUGAAUGUGAAUCAUUGUGAUAAUUACAUGGUGUAAUAUGUGUCCUGCUCAUUUUAGGAGAUUGCAGACGUUACAAAAAGAGUUAUAUUUAGCUGUAUCAUGGUCCAAGGUAGAUCCCCCUAAUCCUCUUCUUCAUUACAGACUUCUGAAGUUGUUUAAAUGUAACAUCCUUCAUAAUGCCCGUGUAAUGCAUAAUGUUGUUUUGGUUUUUUUUGGGGGGGGGGGGGGGG